rnacentral:rRNA from 1 species
ACUCAAAUGAAUAGACGGGGGCUCACACAAGCGGUGGAGGAUGUGGUUUAAUUCGAAGCAACGCGAAGAACCUUACCAGGUCUUGACAUACCGGAAUUAACCGAGUGAAAGCUCGGGGAUUGCCCUCAAGGCGUAACCGGAACAGGUGCUGCAUGGCUGUCGUCAGCUCGUGCCGUGAGGUGUUAGGUUAAGUCCUUUAACGAGCGAAACCCCUACGUUCAGUUGCCAGCGGGUAAAGCCGGGGACUCUGGACGGACUGCCGCGAAAGUAGGAGGAAGGUGGGGACGACGUCAAGUCAUCAUGGCCUUUAUGAUCUGGGCUACACACGUCCUACAAUGGGUGGUACAAUGGGUUGCGAAGCCGCAAGGUGUAGCCAAUCCUCGAAAGCCACCCUCAGUUCAGAUUGCGGGCUGCAAUUCGCCCGCAUGAAGCUGGAAUCGCUAGUAAUCGCGGAUCAGCCACGCCGCGGUGAAUAUGUUCCUGAGCCUUGCACACACCGCCCGU